CCCUCCCAUUCAAUCCCAGCCGCUGAUGCUCCCUCCAUCUCCAUGGCAUGCGGGCUCCAAAUACUUUUGCCUCGGUGAGGGAAGCAGGCUGGAGAAAGCGUGUGAUCACACGCAGUCAAGAAUCUAGUUGUCCUCAGAGUGAAGCUGUUCCUUCACCUGCGUGAAGGGCAUGAAAGAAGUUUUCAUCUGAGGCAAAUGAAAAAUGUCCCACCCCCUUCCCACCCUCCACCUCACCAGCACUGUAAAGAAUAAAAGGAAUGAGGCUGGAGAGAAACCGUCCUGGAAAGGUCAACCAUUUCAACAUGUCCAAAGCACUGAGGGAUUUCCAGUGAAUUAUAUUCCUUAAGGAAAGGCAGAGGCAAGAGUAGUUGUCUUGUUUUAAGCAUCCCUGAUAUGCCUUGAUUCUAAACAUCACAUCAGACAAAAUGUGGUGAACUUUAAGUAGCCAUUUACAAGAAGUCUAAAAGUUAUCUUAAAAAUACUUUAUCAUUACUAGACAUCAGCAACAGCCAUCCUUCCCUCUUUUUUUCAGGAGGGAUAUGAGAUUUCACUUUAUUUUCUCCUUGGGACAAAACUUGAAGGUGUGACUUGAGUUGAGAUCACCGCAAAGAGCAACAGAAAGUCCAGCCUUAGGCUGAGCUAAUUUCACCAGAGAGAAACUAUACGAGGAGAGACAUCUACCCAAUUGUAGAAGAGCCACUGUGAGCACAUCAUUCUGUGAGCCUCAUGAAGUGCUUUACCUGAACUUAUGAUAGUCUUGGAAUCAGCUUUAGGCCCAACAUAGCUCACAUAAGUCAUGCUUGCAACUUUCUGUCUGAAAUGAGCAGGGUUGGUGUUGCCUGGUGGGGAUGUCAAAGGCAGUGUGAAUCUGCCUUUCAAGUCUGAGUCAUCGUGACAGGCCACACAAAGUCACUACUUCUAGUUCUGAGGACAAAGACCUUUAGUUGUGAGGAACAAAGACCUCACAUGUUUUCCAUCUAUUCCAAACCCUUCCAAUACAUUCCUGUGGCAACAUAACCUUGGGGAAAAUAUGGCUGUGUGAGCAACAGCCCUUUUCAGUUCUAGUUCUUAAAAACUAAUUCUGUCAUGAGAAAUCACUCCUCUGUGGAGAAUGCUGGUUAAGCCUUAAUUUGCAGAGAUUAAUACAGCUACACAGUCCCAGCAUCCAAGCAGGAGUUUGUAGUGCCAGUGUGGGUAGUUCUGCUGGGCAGGCUGUGCCAUGAACAGUUGGUUUGUUUGGUGGCUGGGCACCGUGGCACCCGUAAAGCUGCACUUUCACCUACGGUAAGAACUUCAAAACCAAAACCUCACAGAUUUAAACAGUAAGUUAAUUUUUUAAAAAACAGAUGUGUGGCUAAAGUGCAAGCUUAAAGAAAGUCUGAAAACUAUCGUCUCACAGAUCAUUGAAAUCAGACACUGGUUCAUGUAGUGAAAAUGUGCCAAAAACAAAGAACCUAUUCUUACACUCGCUGCCACUACAAAAUUUCAUCAGACACAAGGAUGACACAAGGUGGCAUUUUUCACCCUUCAGGUGCAACCUGAGUUAGUGGCAGAGUAACAGAUCCACUCUGCUGUUAUCCAGAGAUCUCAUCUUCCCAACCUUCUGUAUCAAGUUCUCCUUACCUCAUGUAACUCACCACUCUAAGUAAGAAAUUUAAGGUACCCAGCAGCCCAAUGCCAUGGCAGAGGUAGAGAUGAGAUGACUGAAAACCAGCAGGUUAUGAUUUGAACAGGACAUCUUACCAGAUUGUCCAAAUGCUACAUGGAAUUUUAAUUUAAAACUCUUAAUAAUGCUGAUUUUCCAGGUAAGAAAAAAAAACUUAAUCAAGCCUGAGUACUUCAUUUGAGAGGUGAGCUUCUGCUACGUUCUGGAGUGCAAAAGCUGAAGAGAGCAGGUGAGGCUUGUUACUAAAUUCCACUGCUGCUUUUCAGAAUAUCCUUACAGUUUAAAGCAAGUUUGCCAUGUGCACGUUACUGAAAGAGCCAGUAUAUAUUGUCCUGCCCAGCUUCCUUCUCAGUACAAUUCAUCUGAACCUUAUUCGGCUGCAAGACAACCCAGAUGUAUU